GGGCCCGCACAAGCGGAGGAACAUGUGGUUUAAUUCGAUGAUACGCGAGGAACCUUACCCGGGAUUGAACGCGGCAGGACGUAUGGUGAAAGCCGUAUUCCAGCGAUGGUCUGUCGCGAGGUGCUGCAUGGUUGUCGUCAGCUCGUGCCGUGAGGUGUCGGCUUAAGUGCCAUAACGAGCGCAACCCUUAUCGCCAGUUACCAGCGUGUAAAGACGGGAACUCUGGCGAGACUGCCGGCGUAAGCUGCGAGGAAGGUGGGGAUGACGUCAAAUCAGCACGGCCCUUAUAUCCGGGGCGACACACGUGUUACAAUGGCAGGGACAAAGAGCAGCUACCGUGCGAGCGGAAGCGAAUCUCCAAACCCUGUCUCAGUUCGGAUCGGAGUCUGCAACUCGACUCCGUGAAGCUGGAUUCGCUAGUAAUCGCGCAUCAGCCAUGGCGCGGUGAAUACG
rnacentral:rRNA from 1 species